GCUUACAGCCAUACCAUCCUGAACCCGCCUGAUCUCGUCAGAUCUCGGAAGCUUUUAUAUGCAGAUUGAAAUGGGUCCACUUUACUUUGCACCUCACCGAGAACAUGAUCUAACACUGUUAUCU
rnacentral:rRNA from 1 species